AGAAAAAUACCGGAAAAAGUUUGCCUUAAUAAAAUGAAUCGGACUUAAGCAGGAUAGUCACUAUCCUUGCAUAUACAAGCCAAUGGAAAGAUUAAGCCAUCCUACGGAGCUAUGACUGAAUUUAGCACACGAUACAAACACAGCAGCAAAGCAACAUUGAGUCAUAGUGAGUAACAUCUUAAUACCACCCUGUAAUUUAAAAGAGAAUUAUAUAUAUACAAUAUAUAUGUGUUGAUAUUUAGGGUGAUUAGGUAGAUAGAUAGACGAGGUAGACAGAUAGAUGGAUUCUAUUUAACUCUUAGGAAACCCAGUUAUGAUGUAGCUGCUAAACUGAGAAGAAACAUCGAAUCUGAAAGUUUUCUUUAUCUGGAAUAAGUAGCGAAGCAAUGGACUUGCUCCUGCUCAUCUGUCCUUUGCGAGCAAAGCAGGAACUAUGGAUGUAGGAACAGUUAAUACCAUCAUGUGUCUUUUGCUCCAUAGUGGGUAUCUAUGACUGGAAGGUCCACACACCUUAAUUUAGGGCAGGUGCACUGCGAAUUUGACCAUAGGUAUCCAAGUUUUCCCAACUCAACUAAAAAGUGAGACCUCAUCUGUUCAAUGCAACAUUGCAAAAAUAUUGCCGAAUUUUUUGCAACAAAAGAAAACUCGUAUUUAUUUCUGCCUCUGACUAUACUUUUAAUUAUAUUUAGAAUAGUAAAUUUCAAAUUUGAUGUGAUUGCUUGGGACUCUGGUAAGAGAGAAGUCAGAGACCUGGGCUCAGAGCCACCCUGGAGCCCUGGGUUUCUCCCAGGUAAAGUAGGAGCAGGGAUUUCUGAUGGUGGAGUUUACAGUGAUGAAUUAAGACAGUGAGGACACCUCGGCACACCUUCCCCCUCCUGCUUUCUUUGUAUCCUUAUUCAACCACUUCCAGGUUAAUCAAAAUAAAACCAAUCUGCAUAGGAUUGAACAUGCAAAAGGAAAAUCACCAGAGUCUCUCAGUCAGUCAUUUCUUUCAUUGGUAAACUAAAUUACCUUCCAGAAAUAGUUUGUUUAUAGAACUAUUAAGAAAAAAUUAUUUCUAUUAUUGGCAGUUCAAAAAUAGAGAUGUACUGAAACUAUUUAUGAACCUUUAAAAAGUUAAAUGAUAAGCUUUUCCUUAAUGAAAAAGAUUUGUCAAAGGAAAUGUGUCUUAUUUGUCCUCCUUUUAAUUAAGCAAAUGUGUAUUAUUAGUACAUACAUUUCAAAAUAAAGACAUUUCCCAAACAGAUGAGUAAAGCUUAUGUAACAUGUUUUGAUUUAAGUAAUUGUCUGUCAAAAGGUAAUUUGCUCUCUAUUUUAUUUGAUUUAUCUUAGUAUUCUAAUUGAGCUAUAUCUUAAAAUUUAGAAAAUAUUUAGGUGCAAGACCACCAAAGACGAAACAUUUCAUAGAACCCUUUUAAUAAACAUGUAUUUUAGGUAAAUUUUAAGAAUAUUUACAAUAUUAAUUAAUGGCAAGUAAUAUAAAAAAUAGUUCAAACCAAAGUACGCAGACUAAAACAACUUAGUUUAAAAAGUAUUUUCUCCUGUGAUGAUGGUAAGAUCUCUCUGUAAAAUAUAUUAUGCCCUCUCCAAAAUGAGCACGUUGAAAUUUUUCAAAAGAACACAGUAAAAAUUAGAGUUUAUGUCUGUGUGCAUCUGUGCAGGGCCUGGAGUUUUCAAGUCUCCACAGAGCGGCCAUGACUUUGCAGUAAGAGCCAGACGGCAAUAACAGCUACCCUUCAGGGUCGUAAUUAGAUCAAAUAUAAGCAAACGUUUUCUUCAAUCUAAAGCACUGUGUGGGGCAGAAGGUGUAACAAGGACUGGGAUGGUUGGAACGCGUGCCUGCCUUUUCCUGACAUAAAGAUGCUACCAGAGCACAUUUCACUUUGGGGUAUUACACAGAACUAUUUAGCCCCUCUCUCUGCCCUGUAAUUGUAUCCCUGCCGUGAUAGCGACUAGAUGGCCCCGGAAGGUCAGACCAUCUGGAAAUAGGAAACCCCCUACCGAGGUGCUGAAAUCCACUUGGAGAGCAGUUAGCACACGGCAGGGUUUGAGAGCAGGGCAGUGAGUAUAAAUCAGGGCAGAAUCUUAAGCAGAGCUGUUCGUAUUCCUUCCAUUUUUAAAAUGCUGUUUCUGUUUUGUUAGAGAAGACGAAAUGAAAAUAUUAGAGAAGUUAUUCGUAUCAUUUUCGUGCAACACGUAGCAUUUUUUUCAGACAUACACAUUGUCUUAAAAACGCUCUUGAGCAUGUCUCCUGCGAGCUAGAGUGUUUGGAUUCUUUCCUUUCUCUUGCUGUUUCUUAAUUGCCUGUUUCUUCAGGUUCGUUGCUCUAAAUUGUUGCUAGGAGCAACGCCCACUCAGCGGGAAGGUUCGAAGCGAGCCGGCGUCCCUAGAGACAAGCCAUUUGUUCCUCGGUUCCUCUUGGCACUCACACGCUAAGAACACCCUGCGUCUCCAGGGAGGAAGAGCACAGACCACCUGCCACGGGAAGCAUCUGCUGAGGUUCUUGUCAAAGACACCUCUGAAGGAACUUGCCACUUGAGAUUCCAGUCGCCACACCUCUGCACAAAGUUAUUCCUUUAGCUUAUUUUUGAAGAAAAGUCAAAUGGGAGGCUUCAAACCCAAAGCAUAUUAUUUAAUGCAGCCUCCAGGCCUUCAGCAAAAGUAACAUAGUCAAAUAUUAGGAUUUAUAGUUAAGGUUAAUUCUUAAAAGCACCUACAGGUAUGAGAGCAUCAUACCUAUAGGUGUGACGAGUGAGGGCUCUGCACACAGGUGGGAGGGCUGCCCCUGGGAGCCCUUGAGAAGCGUGUUGCUGUCCUGCUCCUGCAGAAGCGGCACUGGUCAGCUGUGUUUCACAAGGAGUGGUCAUCACCAGAAAGUUACUGAUUGUCUUUACCAUCAUUGAAAAUAGAUGUUUCUAUUUUUUUUGAAAAUGAAUAUUUUAAGAAUCAUUGAUGGAUUCCCAUUGUCUGUAGGAUGAAGCUACCCAGCAUUGAAGACAUUUUAAGCUCUGGCCUCCUUCAGGUUUCCAGCCCACUUAAGACCACCUCCUCGAACACUCCCUAAGGGCAAGCAGCAAGAAGUUCCCGGCACAGAGCUCCUAAAACCUUUGGAAUUUCCUGCAUGAUGGGAGUACCUUUUGUCAUUCAUAAGGAGCCCUUGGGAUCACACCUGAGUUUCUUUCAAUGAGGUGACUUAGGGUAGGCCCCCAGAUAGCCUCAGGAUGGGGCUGGUCACUAGAAAGAACUCUUGAACAACAAGGUUUGAUGACCUUCCAGGUUGGUGAAUGCAUCCACAUGCCAGGAGGGCGGUGCCUCCCAGUUGCAGGGGGACAGAAGCUCCUGUGCUCAGGAUCCUUCAAGAUCUUGCCCUGGGUACCUCUUCACCUGGCUGUUCAUCUGCAUCGCUUACCGUAUCCUUUAAAAUAAACUGGUAGAUUUAAGUAAAUGUUUCCCUGAGUUUUGUGAGCUGUUCUAACAAAUGAUUGAAACUGAGGAAGGGAAUCUCUGAUUUAUUAUCACCAGGAGAUAUAAAUAUAUUCCCAGAGAUUCUUGGGAAUCUCUGAUUUAUAUCGCCAGUCAGUCAGAAGUACACGACAAUCUAGAUUUGCAUUGGUGUCUGAAGUGGGGCAGUCUUGUGUGACUGAGUCCUUGACCUGUGGGAUCUGACAAUAACAUCAGGUAGUUAGCAUCGGAAUUGAGUUAAGUUGUAGGACACCGAGCUGGUGUCCGCAGAGAAUGGGAAAAUUGCUUGGUGGUGUUGGAAAACAUCCCAGAUUCUCAUUCACUUUUCUUAAAUUAAGAUAAAUUUCCGACAAAGAAGCAUUAAUCUGCCUAAGAUGCUAACUUUCAAGGAAUAAACUACUUCCAUUGUUCUCAAGGAACAAUCAAUUACCCUAAAAGUGGUGAUAAUAUUCAAAUCAGAACUUCUGAAAGUGUGGCAAUGACAUUAGGAAAGUGGGACUGACAGGAAAUACAAUUUUUCAUCAAAAAUUUAUUGGGGGUUGGCCCCCACUUGAGCCCAAUCAAAUCAAUCUAAUAACAGAAAAGUACUGGAAGAAAGAUUAUAAUUAAGCACUUAGGAUUAAGCAUUUCAUAAAAGUCAUCUGAGUCUCUACCUCUUUUUUUUAAAUAUUGAGGUGUUUAGGGAGUGAUACUCUCUAAGGUAACUCUAGUUUGUUUUAAACAAAUUGACUCCUGAGCUGAACCAGAAGAGAACUGGGUCAUCCUGUGUAGCCCAGUAGGGGGUGGGAAGCUCAGGCCUGAGUAGAGAGAAAGGGUCCUAUUGGCAGAAUGCCGCCUACAAAUGUGUGCAUGGGCCAAAGUAAUUUAGAGGCUGACGCCCAUGUUGUGUUGAUUCACUCUGCUCUUGGAUUGUCAUGAAUUAAUUUUAUUUAAAUAAAAUUUAUGUUAAUCUUGGGAGAAUAACACAAUAAAGGCAUUUUCUGUUUUUGAAAUAGCUCAUUAGAUAAAUAUUCAUGCUUUCUUCCCUCAUCAACGAAGACCACUUUUGCUUAAAUUCACCCAUUCUAAAAAAUUUAAGGCUGUGUUUCUUGGGAUUAAAAUGUGCCUUAAAAAUGUGAAGAUUUGCUCAGUUAAUUUUUAUAUAAAAUGGCAAAUGAUGAACAUUUUAUAUCCACCUCCUACCUUGAGAAAAAAAUCCACAAGUAGAUCAUUGUUGCUGAUAUAACAAGGUACCGACACUGAUUUUUCCAAGAAAAUAACGUCUUCAGUGUCCUGACUUAGCACCCAAGUGAGGGACCAUAGAGGCAGACUUCCAGUGACCCCUACAGCAGCGGGGUCCUGCUUGUGUUUACAGCAGCCAGCGCACCAACUGGGGGGCUCUGCCUCUAAGGUGGAAUUUCCCCACACCCACUGGCUCUCAUCUAAGUACAAUUUGAAAGUAAAUUUUUUUAAGAAAUAAUCUAAGUUAUUACACUUCUUUAAUGAUAAUUCAUUCCAGAUUUUCUUCAGAUGUUGAAAUUUGUUCCCCUCUCUCAGGGUCACUGGGCUUCUGUCUCAUUAUCUAAGGAGAAUGCACGGAGUUUCCUUCUGAAAGAAUCAAUUCGCAGGUGUGAGCACUUGCAAAAUCAGUACUAUCGCAAUGCAAAGAAAAUUGCCUCUUAUAAGGUAGAUAAUUAAAAUUAUAAAACUCUUAGAAUAAGAAUUCACUUCAUAGUCACUGAAUCUCUACAACAAUUCCAUAAACAGACCAGAGAAAUGAUCCUCCUUACAUGUGAUGUCCUGGGAUUAGCGACUUGCCCAGGGGCACUUGACAGAGUCUACACUGAGACUCAGGAUCUCUCUACCUAGAUUUUGGCCCUUUUGAGUGCUUCACAAUCCUUAAUGAAUGGCAACACUCAAAUUCUUUGAAAGGACAGAGUCCCAUUCUUUAAAGAAACUAAACGUGCAUUGUGAUUUUAAAGUGAUGAAAUAAAAACUACUUUAGUUUGGAAAGCUUUUUGAUAGGCAAACCAAUGACACUUCCAGCUUAUAUUGAGCCACUUUAGUUUAUUUAUAUUUUUCCCAAGUCUUUUUUCUUCCAAUCAUACUUGAGCUUUCUAAAUGAUAUUUUAAAAGUGAUCUAAUUAUACUCAAAUCAAUUGAAACAGUAGAUUCAGCCUCUAAUUUUGUUCUGUUAUUGUAUAUUGUCUAUGUUAUUGCAUAUGGUCCAUGUAUUUUAAAGUCAUGUAAAAUACAAAAUGUGUGCAUUUUAUGGUAUACAAUAUAUGUGCAUUUCAAUGUU